CCUGUUCUCCACAGCGGUUUUAUCAGUCCCAAACACACACAGGAAUUCCGGUUUGGGAAUGACCGUCCGAUUCCCAGCUUCCACAGGAAGGCAGAAUAAAAAGCAGCUCAUCGUUGGGAAAGGCGUCUCAUUUUCCUGCAGUCCAGCUACAGGCACAGAGCUCACACCAAACAUCUCCACACCAUGUCUCCAAACCUCCAGCGGCUGUGACGGGACUCUCCACACACUCAGCUCUCCUGCUACACUGGCAUCGGACAUUAAACAGCUGGAACAGGAGGUCCCUGAUCAACUGAGCAGAUGAAGGGUGAUCUAAUAUCACAGCUACUGGCCUGCUUCCCAGCUCAUUAUUACUUUUGGUACGCGCUAGGCCUGCCUCAAACUCGUACCGUGAGUAAUAAUGCACUGUGGCAGGCAUUAAGCUACCUGACACUGCAGCUACAGCUCUGGAGUCCAGUAAAAGAGGAGCAUCGUGAAGACCAUCAGUCUGCAUUUCACAUGUGAUUUUUACUCUUUGCAUUUGCACUGUAUGUAAAAAAAUGUUUAAAUGAAUGAGUGUGUGAAAUGGCAGUUACUGGUGACAUUGGAGAAAUAGGUUCGAGUGUUGAGACGUAUGGCCUGUGGUUUUUCAGGUGACAUGUAAAGUGCAUUAUAAUGUGGGGUUUCAGUUCAAUACAGAAUCAUAUGUUAUUAUUAUUAUUAUUAUUAUUAUUAUUAUUAUUAUUAUGUGACAGUAUGAUGAUAAAUUAUACAUGUUUUUAUCUACAUGCACCUUUGUCUUAAUUAUAUUGGAUAUUGGGAAAUAAGUUUGUAUUUUAAUAAAUAUUUAAUAAUUAAUUA